GAGGUGUGCUUGCUUCAGCAAAAAAAUUGGUACGAUACAGAGAAGAUUAACAUGAACCCUGUGCAAGGAUGACACGCAAAUUCGUGAAGCAUUCCACAUUUUU
rfam:Mus musculus chromosome 11, GRC primary reference assembly.